rnacentral:rRNA from 1 species
UAGAGUUUGAUCCUGGCUCAGGAUGAACGCUAGCGGCAGGCCUAAUACAUGCAAGUCGAACGAUACCAGGGAGCUUGCUCUCUGGGAAAGUGGCGCACGGGUGCGUAACGCGUAUGCAACCUACCUUUAUCAGGGGGAUAGCCUCUCGAGAGAGAGAUUAACACCGCAUAAAAUCAAAGAACGGCAUCGUUCAAUGAUCAAAUAUUUAUAGGAUAAAGAUGGGCAUGCGUGACAUUAGCUAGUUGGUGAGGUAACGGCUCACCAAGGCGACGAUGUCUAGGGGAUCUGAGAGGAUGACCCCCCACUGGUACUGAGACACGGACCAGACUCCUACGGGAGGCAGCAGUAAGGAAUAUUGGUCAAUGGAGGCAACUCUGAACCAGCCAUGCCGCGUGCAGGAAGACGGCCCUAUGGGUUGUAAACUGCUCUUAUUCGGGAAUAAACCUCUUUACGUGUAGAGAGUUGAAUGUACCGAAAGAAUAAGGAUCGGCUAACUCCGUGCCAGCAGCCGCGGUAAUACA